GUGCACGCUGGCGGUAGGCCUAACACCUGCCAGUCGAACGGCAGCACAGUAAGAGCUUGCUCUUACGGGUGGCGAGUGGCGGACGGGUGAGGAAUACAUCGGAAUCUACUUUUUCGUGGGGGAUAACGUAGGGAAACUUACGCUAAUACCGCAUACGACCUACGGGUGAAAGCAGGGGAUCUUCGGACCUUGCGCGAUUGAAUGAGCCGAUGUCGGAUUAGCUAGUUGGCGGGGUAAAGGCCCACCAAGGCGACGAUCCGUAGCUGGUCUGAGAGGAUGAUCAGCCACACUGGAACUGAGACACGGUCCAGACUCCUACGGGAGGCAGCAGUGGGGAAUAUUGGACAAUGGGCGCAAGCCUGAUCCAGCCAUACCGCGUGGGUGAAGAAGGCCUUCGGGUUGUAAAGCCCUUUUGUUGGGAAAGAAAAGCAGCAGGUUAAUACCCCGCUGUUCUGACGGUACCCAAAGAAUAAGCACCGGCUAACUUCGUG
rnacentral:rRNA from 1 species